AGGUGGCGUAGUGGUUCAGAAGAUGCUCUGCUUUUUCCAUUGAUAAGUGUUUUUCUCUGUUUGUUUUGCUCUGAAAUCCUAUGAAUGUGCCUUCUUCAGGUAAAAUUUGAUACGUAAAUGUACAUUAAGAUAUGAUCUAGGAUGUGCAGUACAUGCUUUUCCAACAUUGAUGUCAUCCUUCGUGGCCAUGUCGCAGCUUCCCAACAGAAAGCCCAGCCGAGAGGAGACACUCAGGAGUGAUAUCUGGAUCUUGGUGGAAUUGUUUGGGGCCUCAAUGCAUCAUUCUCUGUCACAACUAGCAUUGUUCAACAAAUUCACCACAGGUGGAAGUCAUAUCUUCUACUGCAUGAUUUUUAUAAACAUUUUUUGCCCUGUCGUGCCUCUGGAAAAGAGUGAUUUCACCGAUUCCAUACUCUUUUCCUCCUGACGAUGCGAGUGUGGAGGUGAAGGAUGGGAAAUGAAUCAUGUCCACAGCCGGGUGAUCUUCCAGAAAAAGUAAGAGAGACACAAUGUAUAGUGAAGAGAAACAUGACAAGAAGCCAGGGAUUUUGCAACAUUUUCCACAGAAUCGAUCUGAACAUCGUUCAAUCAUGUUCCAAUUUGCUCUCAAGAGACAAGCUACUGAGAAUUUUAUUCAACUCUUCAUCCUUUGGCGGAAUCUAUCUUUUUCACCUUGUUCAUCUCACAUUGCGGCGGACGGGUCUUUGUUUUGGACAUGAGAGCGUUGCUCAUGUAACUUAACACACAAAUUUGUGCCAAAAUACAAG